GUGCGUGCUUCAGCCAACCUAUGCUAAAAUUGGAACGAUACAGAGAAGAUUAGCAUGGCCCAUGCACAUGGAUGAUAUGCAAAUUUGUGAAGCACUCCAUAUUUUU